UGCGUAGGUGCAGGGGGAGGGGAAGAAAGUCUUCAAAACUAGCCCGCCAUGGUACUGGUCUCUUAGCCUGUAAGGCUCGUGCAUGAUGUCUAUGAGAGCGAUUUCCAGCAGAGCGAAGCCUUAUCACAGAUCCACCUAAAAGGUGAAGUGGGUGAAUAUCAGACAGCUCAUUAUAGAGACAUGCAUGCUGCAUUUCCAAAGUAGAAUGACAGAACAAGUCAUGGUGGAUAAGAGUCAUGGAUGYUAAAGGAGACAUUAAUCAGGCUGUUGUGAAAGAUCUGAUACCAGCUUUGGUCAAAGGGGACGAGUGUCAUCCUGAGAGUGCUCCUCUCUGGGACAGGAAACCGACGGAGCGAAGCCCUGAGAACAUGCCGUGACACUUCAUAUUCAAUCCACAGCCCUAUAAAGAGAUGAAAAAUGAGCCUUGUCCAAAGCUCUUACCUCAGCACCCAGUGGCAAAAAUAAAAUGUGAGCUUGGGACCAGGUCUCUUUGAAGCUGAUUUUUUCUAUUUUUUUUUUAAACUCUCCAACAGGCCUCUGGUGGUUACAGGUAUUGAUCGUCAGAAAGUAAUCUGUUCAGGUUUGGGGGCAUGCCAAACCGAAUCCUGGAGUAUGUUCCUUCCUCUCCAAGGACACGUUGAGCUUUUUAUACUGUCCACACUGUCUUGCUUGUCAGCUGGCUAGCUUCUUUGUCUUUACUGCUUUCCCUGUUUGUGGAAAACAUAUAAUUAAAUCUUCCUUGGAAAAAUAGUAUGCAUUACUACCCUAGAAUUUUCUGCCAGKGCUGAAGGUUUUUUACCCCAUUUUUUUAACCCUCAUUUUUCUUCUAUAAUCAUUAUUUGAUUCCCUCUGGCUGCCUGCUACUUAUUUGUAGUAGUACCAUUCAUCCAUUGAGACUUUUCCAUCUGUCACACAGUUUUGCUUUCUCUCCCCAGAAGCUUUCUUCUCCUACUGUGCCAUGCUUGAUUUUUUGGGUUUAGUUGCAUGUUUGCGUGCUCUUUUUAGUAUUUUAAAAAAUGUUUCAGUAUUCUGAACAAAUACAUCAAGAAGAGAAAAAAAAAAACCCAACAUAGCAUUGAAAUCCAGCACUGUGCAUGGAGACUGGAUGAGGAGACUGAGAUUCCUGGUGAAUUAAGGAAUCAACACAUAGAGCCAGGGCAGAACUAGUGGCCAGAACUUGCUCUCUCUGAAUUGUUUUCAUUGCCUUCAAAAUCCUUCCAGUUUUGUGCUGGAUAAAUAGGUGAUGUCAGGAAAUGUUGUAUUCCCUUUGCUGUACUGACUCCCUUUGGUGUAUUGAUUAAAAAGACUGUCUGAGGAAUACCAAAUGUACUGAGGUACAAUACUGGGAUUACUUAAUGAAAAARAAUGCUUCAAAGUACAGUACACACUUACUAAAAUAAGAUCGUGGUCAUAUGCUACAUUUAAAAUUAAAUGAACAUUUUUUGUUUGCAGAAGGUAGACAUUAAAGAAGUGCAGCCCUUGCUGGUGUUUCCCAGGUGAAAUGCAGGAUGGGYUAAAGCCAGCAGCACAACCCUACAGAAUUACUGGGUUUUUUUCUGCAUGUGUCCUCUGCCUCUAUUAUGAUCUAAAUAGGGAGUGUGUCAAGCAAAUCUUAGUUUUUGAUGUAAGCAAUAGGACAUCUUACAGCUGCCCUACAUAUCACUUGCAAUUGAAUCAAAUCUAAAAUCUUUUGUCUUGGAGAACAACUCACAAAAUGACCUGCGUCCAAUAAUACAUUUUGAAUAUCUCUUUAUUAAUUUUCUCUUCUUUUCCUUUUAUACUUUUCAUUGUAUCUUCUUAUGCUCUUGUUUCAAAAGCUCCUGCAAGUUUAUCAUGAUUAUUAAGAUUAGUAAAAGUGUGUGUUGUGUUCUGAAUUUUUCUUUUCCAGUAGAAAUGCUUCCACUGUUUAUAAAAUGAUUUCUGUGGCUGUAUAGAAAGUGCUGAUAAUCUCCAAACACAAAAGCUGUGAGUGUGUCCUUAUUUGAAUGGCAAUCCCCAGAAAGCUUCCUUUGCUACCAGCCAUUUCAUUGCUCUGUUCUGGGAAUGAAGUGGGUGGAAAAAAAAAAUCAGGRUCUUCAGAUGUCUGGACAGAUGUCUGAAAAUGUAGGUAUUUUACAAAAAUCCCAUUUGUAAAGUGUUGUCCUGUGAAAGUAACAGUCAUUCAGAACCUGAACUUUUGUGGUUGCCUUGCAAAGGAAAAUAAAAGAUUACUUUUCUGGAAUAAGUUAUGAAAAUAAAAUGCAAGGAAAUGAGUGAGAAGGCAA